rnacentral:misc_RNA from 1 species
AGUAGAUGCUCCCUUCAAACUUAUUGCACUUGAGCAAUAUUUCUAUUUAAUUUUUAAUUCAUGCAUUACUAUGCCAAAAAGAAGUGGAGGUUUGUGAUGAAAAAAGGCACCCCAAGAAUAAAGAGCUGCAGCCUUAGUGAUACAUAAGUUUCUGCAUUUGAGAGAAAUCAUGCUUUGCCCCUUCUUGCCUUGAAAGUUAGUAAUGCAAUUCUUUUACCCUAAUGGAUGGAUUGUCUGUAAAUAAUCAAAAUUUGGCAAAUAGGUAUCUAAA